rnacentral:rRNA from 1 species
GACGAACGCUGGCGGCGUGCUUAACACAUGCAAGUCGAACGGAAAGGCCCUGCUUGCAGGGUGCUCGAGUGGCGAACGGGUGAGUAACACGUGGGUGAUCUGCCCCUUAUUUUGGGAUAAGCCUGGGAAACUGGGUCUAAUACUGGAUAGGACCAUGCUGUAGGUGGUGUGGUGGAAAGAUUAGUUUCGGUAAGGGAUGAGCUCGCGGCCUAUCAGCUUGUUGGUGGGGUAAUGGCCUACAAAGGCGUCGACGGGUAGCCGGCCUGAGAGGGUGGACGGCCACAUUGGGACUGAGAUACGGCCCAGACUCCUACGGGAGGCAGCAGUGGGGAAUAUUGCACAAUGGGCGCAAGCCUGAUGCAGCGACGCCGCGUGGGGGAUGACGGCCUUCGGGUUGUAAACUCCUUUCAGCCAUGACGAAGCCCUUGUGGUGACGGUAGUGGUAGAAGAAGCACCGGCUAACUACGUG